AGCGAACGCUGGCGGCGUGGUUAAGGCAUGCAAGUCGAGCGAUCCCGCAGCAAUGCGGGAUAGCGGCAAACGGGUGAGUAACGCGUAGGUAACCUACCCUGAAGUGUGGGACAACCCUGCGAAAGCGGGGCUAAUACCACAUGCGCUCGCAGACUGCAUGGUCUGCGAGGAAAGAUGGCCUCGACCGAAAGGUUGCUAUCACUUUAGGAGGGACCUGCGUCCCAUCAGCUAGUUGGUAGGUACGCUACCAGCUUAUGACGGUAGCUAGCCUUAGAGGGCGGUUAGCCACACUGGGACUGAGACACUGCCCAGACUCCUACGGGAGGCUGCAGUCGAG
rnacentral:rRNA from 1 species